GAUGAACGCUGGCGGCGUGCCUAAUACAUGCAAGUCGAGCGAACGGACGAGAAGCUUGCUUCUCUGAUGUUAGCGGCGGACGGGUGAGUAACACGUGGAUAACCUACCUAUAAGACUGGGAUAACUUCGGGAAACCGGAGCUAAUACCGGAUAAUAUUUUGAACCGCAUGGUUCAAAAGUGAAAGACGGCCUUGCUGUCACUUAUAGAUGGAUCCGCGCUGCAUUAGCUAGUUGGUAAGGUAACGGCUUACCAAGGCAACGAUGCAUUGCCGACCUGAGAGGGUGAUCGGCCACACUGGAACUGAGACACGGUCCAGACUCCUACGGGAGGCAGCAGUAGGGAAUCUUCCGCAAUGGGCGAAAGCCUGACGGAGCAACGCCGCGUGAGUGAUGAAGGUCUUCGGAUCGUAAAACUCUGUUAUUAGGGAAGAACAUAUGUGUAAGUAACUGUGCACAUCUUGACGGUACCUAAUCAGAAAGCCACGGCUAACUACGUG
rnacentral:rRNA from 1 species